AUACAUGCAAGUCGAGCGAACUGCAUUAGAAGCUUGCUUCUAUGACGUUAGCCGGCGGACGGGAUGAGUAACACGUGGGCAACCUGCCUGUAAGACUGGGAUAACUUCGGGAAACCGAAGCUAAUACCGGAUAGGAUCUUCUCCUUCAUGGGAGAUGAUUGAAAGAUGGUUUCGGCUAUCACUUACAGAUGGGCCCGCGGUGCAUUAGCUAGUUGGUGAGGUAACGGCUCACCAAGGCAACGAUGCAUACCCGACCUGAGAGGGUGAUCGGCCACACUGGGACUGAGACACGGCCCAGACUCCUACGGGAGGCAGCAGUAGGGAAUCUUCCGCAAUGGACGAAAGUCUGACGGAGCAACGCCGCGUGAGUGAUGAAUGCUUUCGGGUCGUAAAACUCUGUUGUUAGGGAAGAACACGUACCAGAGUAACUGCUCGUACCUUGACGGUACCUAACCAGAAAGCCACUGCUAAUACUUGCCAGCCCGCCGCGGUAAUACUUUAC
rnacentral:rRNA from 1 species